rnacentral:rRNA from 1 species
GAGUUUGAUCCUGGCUCAGAUUGAACGCUGGCGGCAUGCUUUACACAUGCAAGUCGAACGGCAGCGCGGGGCAACCUGGCGGCGAGUGGCGAACGGGUGAGUAAUAUAUCGGAACGUACCCAAGAGUGGGGGAUAACGUAGCGAAAGUUACGCUAAUACCGCAUACGAUCCAAGGAUGAAAGCAGGGGACCGCAAGGCCUUGUGCUCCUGGAGCGGCCGAUAUCUGAUUAGCUAGUUGGUAGGGUAAAGGCCUACCAAGGCUACGAUCAGUAGCCGGUCUGAGAGGACGACCAGCCACACUGGAACUGAGACACGGUCCAGACUCCUACGGGAGGCAGCAGUGGGGAAUUUUGGACAAUGGGCGCAAGCCUGAUCCAGCAAUGCCGCGUGAGUGAAGAAGGCCUUCGGGUUGUAAAGCUCUUUUGUCAGGGAAGAAACGGUGGGAGCUAAUAUCUCUCACUAAUGACGGUACCUGAAGAAUAAGCACCGGCUAACUACGUGCCAGCAGCCGCGGUAAUACGUAGGGUGCAAGCGUUAAUCGGAAUUACUGGGCGUAAAGCGUGCGCAGGCGGUUUUGUAAGUCUGAUGUGAAAUCCCCGGGCUCAACCUGGGAAUUGCAUUGGAGACUGCAAGGCUAGAAUCUGGCAGAGGGGGGUAGAAUUCCACGUGUAGCAGUGAAAUGCGUAGAGAUGUGGAGGAACACCGAUGGCGAAGGCAGCCCCCUGGGUCAAGAUUGACGCUCAUGCACGAAAGCGUGGGAGCAAACAGGAUUAGAUACCCUGGUAGUCCACGCCCUAAACGAUGUCUACUAGUUGUCGGGUUUUAAUUAACUUGGUAACGCAGUUAACGCGUGAAGUAGACCGCCUGGGGAGUACGGUCGCAAGAUUAAAACUCAAAGGAAUUGACGGGGACCCGCACAAGCGGUGGAUGAUGUGGAUUAAUUCGAUGCAACGCGAAAAACCUUACCUACCCUUGACAUGUACGGAAGCCACGAGAGAUCGAGGUGUGCUCGAAAGAGAACCGUAACACAGGUGCUGCAUGGCUGUCGUCAGCUCGUGUCGUGAGAUGUUGGGUUAAGUCCCGCAACGAGCGCAACCCUUGUCAUUAGUUGCUACGAAAGAGCACUCUAAUGAGACUGCCGGUGACAAACCGGAGGAAGGUGGGGAUGACGUCAAGUCCUCAUGGCCCUUAUGGGUAGGGCUUCACACGUCAUACAAUGGUACAUACAGAGGGCCGCCAACCCGCGAGGGGGAGCUAAUCCCAGAAAGUGUAUCGUAGUCCGGAUUGUAGUCUGCAACUCGACUACAUGAAGUUGGAAUCGCUAGUAAUCGCGGAUCAGCAUGACGCGGUGAAUACGUUCCCGGGUCUUGUACACACCGCCCGUCACACCAUGGGAGCGGGUUUUACCAGAAGUAGGUAGCUUAACCGCAAGGAGGGCGCUUACCACGGUAGGAUUCGUGACUGGGGUGAAGUCGUAACAAGGUAACC